GACGAACGCUGGCGGCGUGCUUAACACAUGCAAGUCGAACGGACAGGCCCUGCUUUUGUGGGGUGCUCGAGUGGCGAACGGGUGAGUAACACGUGAGUAACCUGCACUUGACUUUGUGAUAUCUUCAGGAAACUGGGGCUAAUACCGGAUAGGAGCUCCUGCUGCAUGGUGGGGGUUGGAAAGUUUCGGCGGUGGUGGAUGGACUCGCGGCUUAUCAGCUUGUUGGUCGGGUAGUGGCUUACCAAGGCUUUGACGGAUAGGCGGCCUGAGAGGGUGACCGGGGACCAGGCGACUGAGAGACGGCCCAGACGGGUACGGGCGGCAACAGGGGAGAAUAUUGCAGAAUGGGCGGACGCCAGUUGCAACAACGCCCCGUGCGGGAAAACGGCCUUCGGGGGAAAAACCGCUUUCGACGGAGACGAAGCGUGAGUGACGGUAAUGAAUAAAGAAGCAACGGCUAACUACGUG
rnacentral:rRNA from 1 species